GAUGAACGCUGGCGGCGUGCUUAACACAUGCAAGUCGAACGGAAAGGCUCCUGCUUGCAGGGGUACUCGAGUGGCGAACGGGUGAGUAACACGUGGGUGAUCUGCCCUGCACUUCGGGAUAAGCCUGGGAAACUGGGUCUAAUACCGGAUAGGACGAUGGUUUGGAUGCCAUUGUGGAAAGUUUUUUCGGUGUGGGAUGAGCUCGCGGCCUAUCAGCUUGUUGGUGGGGUAAUGGCCUACCAAGGCGUCGACGGGUAGCCGGCCUGAGAGGGUGUACGGCCCCAUUGGGACUGGGAUACGGCCCAGACUCCUCCGGGGGGCAGCAGGGGGGAUUUUUGCCCAAGGGGGGAAGGCCUGAUGCAGCGCCGCCGGGUGGGGGAUGACGGCCUUCGGGUGGUAAACUCCUUUCGCUAGGGCCGAAGCGCAAGGGGCGGUACCUGGAAAAGAAGCCCCGGCUACCUCCGU
rnacentral:rRNA from 1 species